rnacentral:rRNA from 1 species
AGUGAACGCCGGCGGUAGGCCUAACACAUGCAAGUCGAACGGCAGCACAGGAGAGCUUGCUCUCUGGGUGGCGAGUGGCGGACGGGUGAGGAAUACAUCGGAAUCUACUCUGUCGUGGGGGAUAACGUAGGGAAACUUACGCUAAUACCGCAUACGACCUACGGGUGAAAGCAGGGGAUCUUCGGACCUUGCGCGAUUGAAUGAGCCGAUGUCGGAUUAGCUAGUUGGCGGGGUAAAGGCCCACCAAGGCGACGAUCCGUAGCUGGUCUGAGAGGAUGAUCAGCCACACUGGAACUGAGACACGGUCCAGACUCCUACGGGAGGCAGCAGUGGGGAAUAUUGGACAAUGGGCGCAAGCCUGAUCCAGCCAUACCGCGUGGGUGAAGAAGGCCUUCGGGUUGUAAAGCCCUUUUGUUGGGAAAGAAAUCCAGCUGGCUAAUACCCGGUUGGGAUGACGGUACCCAAAGAAUAAGCACCGGCUAACUUCGUGCCGGCAGCCGCGGUAA